rnacentral:lncRNA from 1 species
CUCUGUGACUGGCUUGCUUGAUGGUUAGGGUCUGAUCGCUGCCUGAGACACCAUAUCGGUACUCCUCAGAGUUGAUGCAGAGUGUUCAUAUGAGGAGAGACUUUCCCUUGUCUCCGUCAUCUGUGAUUUCACUUCCCUGACAGAAGACGAAGCUUCCAUCUCAGAUGUUUUCUUAAAUGAUGAAACAGCAUACGCCUCUGUUCUUGUCAGCUCAGGGAAAACAGAUCUGGGGACCUCUUCAUCUCUGCGUUGGGAAGCAUAGGUGGUAUAAUCCCCUCCUGUCACGUCCAACGUUGCAUAGUCAGAAGCUUCGCCCUUGUAGUUGGUGCACACAGCACGGUGAUCACAGGAUCUGGUUUGCCACUGAAAGGAAUCUUGAUGCUGACCACUUCACCUCGGAGAGCAUGAACUGCUCCCAUGCCUUCAAGAGUUUUAGAAUUUUAUGCAAAGAUGGAACUUUACCAUAGGAAGAUACAGAAAUCAAGUUGUACUCACCAAAUGGACUCUUAAUGAUCACAACUGAGGACACUUCUAGAGGGUCACUGAUGCCGAAAGUGUUCUGAGCUGAAACCCGGAAGUAAUAGCCAGCAUUUUCUGUGAGGUUCACAAUUCUACAGGUUGUCACUGAGAUGGCU